GGGAAGUUGGCUCAGUGGUAGAGCGCUUGCCUUGCAUGCAUGAGGCCCAGCAUUCGCUUCCUC
rnacentral:tRNA from 1 species